AAAGGAAUAGACGGGGGCCCGCACAAGCAGUGGAGUAUGUGGUUUAAUUCGACGCAACGCGAAGAACCUUACCAGGGCUUGACAUCCUACUAACGAAGCAGAGAUGCAUCAGGUGCCCUUCGGGGAAAGUAGAGACAGGUGGUGCAUGGUUGUCGUCAGCUCGUGUCGUGAGAUGUUGGGUUAAGUCCCGCAACGAGCGCAACCCUUGUUGUCAGUUGCUACGCAAGAGCACUCUGGCGAAACUGCCGUUGACAAAACGGAGGAAGGUGGGGACGACGUCAAAUCAUCAUGCCCCUUAUGUCCUGGGCUACACACGUACUACAAUGGUAGAGAACAAAGGGAAGCAAAGCAGUGAUGCAGAGCAAAUCCCAAAAAGCUAUCUCAGUUCGGAUUGCAGGCUGCAACCCGCCUGCAUGAAGUCGGAAUUGCUAGUAAUCGCGGAUCAGCAUGCCGCGGUGAAUACGUUCCCGGGCCUUGUACACACCGCCCGU
rnacentral:rRNA from 1 species